rnacentral:rRNA from 1 species
UACGAAGGGGGCUAGCGUUGUUCGGAAUUACUGGGCGUAAAGGGCGCGUAGGCUGUGCUGUAAGUCAGGCGUGAAAGCCCCGGGCUCAACCUGGGAAUUGCGCUUGAUACUGCGGCGCUGGAAGGUGGGAGAGGAUGGCGGAAUUCCCAGUGUAGAGGUGAAAUUCGUAGAUAUUGGGAGGAACACCAGUGGCGAAGGCGAUCAUCUGGGGUUGUUCUGACGCUGAGGAGCGAAAGCUAGGGGAGCAAACGGG